GUCAUCAGACACAUUCCAGCCAAUCAGCAGCAGACCCUCCCAGACCCUCCCACUCCUGGACAGCAUCCAUUUUGAAGCUGCAUUCUUAGUGAGCUGUCCAGGAGGAGGGAGGGUCUGGGAGGGAGGGUCUGCUGCUGAUUGGCUGGAAUGUGUCUGCUG